rnacentral:rRNA from 1 species
GGGUUGUGAGGUUAAGCGACUAAGCGUACACGGUGGAUGCCCUGGCAGUCAGAGGCGAUGAAGGGCGUGCUAAUCUGCGAUAAGCGCCGGUAAGGUGAUAUGAACCGUUAUAACCGGCGAUACCCGAAUGGGGAAAUCCAGUGUGACUCGUCACACUAUCAUCAACUGAAUCCAUAGGUUAAUGAGGCGAACCGGGGGAACUGAAACAUCUAAGUACCCCGAGGAAAAGAAAUCAACCGAGAUCCCCCCAGUAGUGGCGAGCGAACGGUGAGGAGCCCAGAGCCUGAAUCAGCAUAUGUGUCAGUGGAAGCGUCUGGUAAGGCGCGCGAUACAGGGUGACAGC